UCUGAAUGGGGAAACCUAAUCAAUUUAUUGAUUAUUGCAUAUUGAAUACAUAGAUAUGUAAAGCAAACCUGGUGAACUGAAAUAUCUCAGUAGCUAGAGGAAAGGAAAUCAAAAGAGACUCCGUUAGUAGUGACGAGCGAACGCGGAUCAGGCCAGUGGUUUAUAGUUAAAAAUUAGAAUACUUUGGAAAGAGUAGCCAUAGAUGGUGAUAGCCCAGUAUAAGUAAAAAGAUUAUAGAUCCUUGAGUAGGGCGGGACACGUGAAAUCCUGUUUGAAGAUGGGGGGACCAUCCUCCAAGCCUAAGUACUCCUUAACGACCGAUAGUGGACAAGUACCGUGAGGGAAAGGUGAAAAGAACCCCGGGAGGGGAGUGAAAUAGACCCUGAAAUCGAAUGCUUACAACCAGUUGGAGC
rnacentral:rRNA from 1 species